ACGUGUUUCUUUAUAAGUCCUUCCUUUCUCAGAUUUGCAUGUAGGUGAUAAAAAUGCACGUGUGUAUAUGUGCCCUGUUCUUGUGUUCUUCCUCAUUUAUGUUCUCCUUAAAAGCCCUGCAGAAUACCUAACAAAAUUGUUUUUUCAUUGUUUUUAGCAGGUCUAUCAGACAACUGUCACAGAUUUAAAUAUAUAUGUAUAUGAUUUAUUUAGUGAUUUAUUUAGCUGUGUGUAUAUAUCUGUAAGUACUAGUGCAGAGGCAGCCAUCCUAACAGAUAUGUAUGUUUGCUUUGUUAACUUCUUAGGGUUUGUGCAGCUUUUUCUCCUGUGGUACAAGUAGGAAGUUUCUGCAUAAGCCUUUGAGAAGAAAGAGAUGAUAGAGCCUGUUAAAUUUCUGUUGCUUAAUUAGAUCAAAUUUGUGAGUAGUAAAUGGUAACUUCUUACUGAAGAGAGCUUUUCCUAGCUUUUAGUUAAUAAUAGUAAUUCUAGAUUUUAGCAAUGUUUGAGCUAUCAUUUCAAGUCAUAACUAUUUACAUAAAGGAAGGGUGUUGAAAUGUAUUAUAACUUAGUGGUGUCAGUAAAUUAUAUUUAUUACUGCUGAAAUUCUAGCCUGCUGGAAGCAGUGAAUGGUAUUUUGAUUAUUUUUAGCUCAGUAUUUUAAGAACAUCUAAUUGAAAUAAGUACGAAGCGUUAGGGAAAUUUUUCCAUAAAAUAUAGUAGAGUGAAGCCUCAAAACUGAGAAAUAUGUAAGUGUGAAUAUCUCAAUUUGGAAUUUGGUCUCGUAAACAUGUUAUGUAUUCUCAUGUAAAGGGUAAGUUAGCUAAUAUUCACAUAUCUUUAAAACAACAAAACCAUCUGCUUAAGAUUAACUGCAGCAUUUCUGUUCACAAAGAAGCAGGAACACUUUUACAUAAGGCAAUGAAAACAAUUUACUUUUUCUUAACCCUACCUCCUUUCAAGCUCUCUCAGUAGACACCACAAGAAUGAAAGUAAGAUCAGAAUUCUCAUUGCUGUUCAGUGUUGUUUCUGAGAGUCAUGAGGGGAAGAAGUUUUUUCCUUUUCGGAUUGAAGCUGAAAUCUUCACAUUAUCACUGGUCUUCAUCCACUGAGGCUGAUAGUGAAAUAGCAAGUAUUGGAAGAUUCCUGGUAAAGUUUUGCAAGUUGGCAAAAAGGCAUCAGAAGUAUCAGGAGACUGCACCGGGAAGAUCCCAGGGAGAAUACUGGAAGAAAGGUUUCCGUGAUGCAUAUUGUUUCUUCCUACACAAAGAUUUCUGAGAUUGUAUAAUCUUGGACCUCUCUUAAUAGGACAGCGGGCUUUGGUAUCUAGCCUUAUCUGGGAGUCCACCUCAUUUCUCAGGAGGUAAACAACAUUAGCCACUCCUAGUGAAGGUGACUGAAACUUCUUAUUUGGGGCCAACAGAGUUAGGGCCUGUGCUGUUACUACAGUUGUUUUGCCUCAAUAUUUGCUACACUUCUCGUACAUUUUGGUACAAAAUUUAUAGCUUCUUAUCCAAUUACCAGGGUAGAAGUAAAAUGGAAUCCUGUUGUGAAAGUGAUUCAAGCAAUUAACAUGCCAAAAAAAAAAAAAAAAAAAAAAAAAAACCAAAAAAAACCAAACUAUUGCUUUCAUCUUUCACGUUGUGUACUCAAGACACCAGUGGUGUUCACAGUUCUUGUUGCCAUUGGUGCUCCCAGCUGUGUGACAAUGUGUCAAAUCCUCAAGCUAGAGCCUUGUUCUUUCUUAUUCCCCCUCUCUGAAACAUUGAUUAUUGUUGGUUUUGGAAUGGUGGUAGUAGAAAGGCCAACAGGCAUUGUCAGUGACUCAGUACAGUGUCUGAGGGGUGUCUGUAUUCCAAGUACCCGCUGAGGGCUGACCCAGCCCUUCAGGUGCUUCUGGGGACAGCCCUGCUGUUGGGUGUUUGCUGUAGGAGCUGUGCUGUGUUCUUUGGGAGCUGCCAUCACUGCGGCCCUACACGUGCAUCUUCCCGUGCAGCUGUUUGCUUUCGCACUACUCGGACGUUUUUCAAGCUGCUGUUCUUAUUUGGUGGUCUGAACUUGUACAACUCAAAUACAUGUCGCUUGCUUUUAUUUCAAA